UACGAGGGGGGGCGAGCGUUGUUCGGAAUUAUUGGGCGUAAAGGGUGCGUAGGCGGUUUGGUAAGUCUUAUGUGAAAUCUAUGGGCUCAACUCAUAGUCUGCAUGAGAAACUGCCGGGCUUGAGUAUGGGAGAGGUGAGUGGAAUUCCUGGUGUAGCGGUGAAAUGCGUAGAUAUCAGGAGGAACACCGGUGGCGAAGGCGGGUCUCUGGGCCGGUACCGACGCUGAGGAGCGAAAGCGUGGGGAGCAAACAGG
rnacentral:rRNA from 1 species